AGCUUAAGGAAGCAGAUAAUUUCUGUUCUCCGAAGUCCGUAUUCUGAUUCAUCAGCUAUUGGUAAGUUAAGUUUUUGAUUAGCAACGGAAUUUGAGUUAGUUAGUGACUUAGUUAGCUGCUUAAUUAUCUUGAAACGAAAUGUUUUAUGGUUUUUUUUUUUUUUUUUUUUUUUUGUGGUGAUGAUUUGGUUUUAUUUCUUUCAAUUUCUAGGAUUUUCUAACAAGACUCUGAGAACCCCGUUAAAGCUCAAUGAUCACGAACCCAGUGGUCUUACCAAUUCAAGGUUUAUCACUUUAUCUUCAAUCCUUAGACUAGUUUGGUUUGUGAACAAGUUUAUGGGAUUAUAAUUUGAGGAUCUAAUAAUGGCGGGAUCUUUUGGUGGAUAUUUGAUAGAUGUUUGGUUCAUUUGACUAAAAGUGGGAUAUGCGGGGUAUAAUUUUUGAAUAUGUGAUAUGCGGGG
rnacentral:lncRNA from 1 species